AGUGAGGAAUAUUGGGCAAUGGGCGCAAGCCUGACCCAGCGACGCCGCGUGAGUGAUGAAGGCCUUCGGGUUGUAAAGCUCUGUGGGAAGGGACGAAAACAGCCACGGCGAAUAGGCGUGGUUCUUGACGGUACCUUCUUAGAAAGCACCGGCUAACUCUGUGCCAGCAGCCGCGGUAAGACAGAGGGUGCAAACGUUGCUCGGAAUUACUGGGCGUAAAGCGCGUGUAGGCGGAUUCGCAAGUCGGUUGUGAAAUCCCCAGGCUCAACCUGGGAACUGCAUCCGAAACUGCGAGUCUUGAGUGCUGGAGAGGGAAGCGGAAUUCUUGGUGUAGAGGUGAAAUUCGUAGAUAUCAGGAGGAACACCAGUGGCGAAGGCGGCUUCCUGGACAGUAACUGACGCUGAGACGCGAAAGCGUGGGGAGCAAA
rnacentral:rRNA from 1 species